rnacentral:rRNA from 1 species
GUCUACGGCCAUAUCACGUUGAAAACACCGGUUCUCGUCCGAUCACCAAAGUUAAGCAACGUCGAGCCCGGUUAGUACUUGGAUGGGUGACCGCCUGGGAAUACCAGGUGCUUUUGGCU